rnacentral:tRNA from 1 species
UGCCGGAUUGUGUAAGGGUAGCACUACUGCCUCUGGAGCAGUCUGUCUGGGUUCGAAUCCUAGUCCGGCAGCCA